GAAUACCAGUCUCCUGGCGGCGGCUGGCACAGCGGAGCUGCUCUCCAAGCAACGGGGUUCCCAGGCUGGGAAGUUUGCAUUGCAGUUUCUUUGCGGGCGGGCGGCGAGCGCCGACUGCAUGCCACCUGCGAGAGGAAGAGGCCGAUGAAGUCUCACUCUGUUGCCCAGGCUGGAGUGCAGUGGCACGAUCUCGGUUCACUGCAACCUCCACCUCCCGGGUUCAAGCGAUCCUUCUGUCUCAGCCUCCCCAGUGGCUGGGAUUACAGGAACACACCACCAUGCCUGGCUAAUGCUUCUAUUUCUAUAAAUGAAGACGUGAGGCUGUGUAAGCGCCAAAGAGAGCAGGGAUCUUGUUUGUCUUGGUCGCCGUGAUAUUUCAGCUGCUGACCCAGUGCUCGAAGCAUAAAGAGAAACUGAGGCCCAUAACAUUGAAUGGCUCAUCUCAGAUCAAGUGGCCAGAUCAAUGAACAGAAGUGUCCUUAGGUCAGGCUGCUGGUGUGAAGUAUGCUCUGGAGGUCUGACAUCCACUCUCCCUCAGACUUUCUAAUACGGCAGGAAUUCCGUCCAUGAUGUGCCAGUUCUGGUAAACUUCCUAGCAAGAUUGAAGGAAGGGAAGGACAACUGCAAGGAAGGGCAGGAUGGAGCAGGCAGCCCACGUAUUCCCCAGCUUGGUGGGGCAGAAUGGGUUCUUGGCUCCUGAGGAACGGGCAGGGAACGCACAGGGGUCCUGGGAAGAAAGGGAGAGAAUAUCCUGGGAGAGCCAUAGUCCCUGGCACUCUCCUAUGGUCCUUCGUCAGGAUAAAUUUCUAAAAGAAGAAUUACUGGCCAAAGGAUUCCUUUUCAGUUGGAAACAGCAGCAAAGUUCACAGGUCGUGGGUGGAUAUAAAGUGGAUGGAACAGGUUGUUGCCAGUCUAUUGGAGUAGGAUGGUAGAUGAGCAGUCCCCUUGGCUAACAGGUGUGGGUAUGCCUAUUUUAAAAAUUAGCAUGUUGUAGGGGAAUAUUUCUCAAACUUUUGUCACAUAUCUAACUCUUAGGCAUUUUUUACUUUAUUCACCUGUACUACUAUUUAAUAUUUUUAAAAUUCGACUGAUUUUUUUUUUUGCUUAAAUACAUUUCUUUAAAACUGGAACUUUAUUCACCACUGUAAAUGGAAAACCAGUGUCAUUUGCCGUAUAUAGAAGUGAACUAUAUAGUAAAUACAGUGAAAAUGAAAUGGUAUCAUCACACUUGUGCUAGAUUCCAUUUCCUAUAAAAGGUUCUGGGUUUCUUAAAAGGCUUGUUAAAAAGAGAGAUGAGUAAAUGUGAGAGGAAUUUAAGACAUACUAGCACCACUAAGACUUUCUCCUUAAAGUAAUCUGGAGGAUUUAAAUUGAGAAUUGAAAAAAGUAACUUUAUUUUACAUAGGAAAUUAUGUAAAAGAAUUAUGUUAUUUAAUGCCACAUCCAUACGUCAUCAAAAGUCAACUUGGUGACCACCAGUGGCCCAUGUCCCACACUUUGAGAAACAUGUGUUGGGGUGGGAAUCUGAAAUCAGAAAAACUGGAGUAUGAUAACCACCUCAGCACUUAUUAGAGGCCUUCACUUGGGAAUGAUGACCCCUUCCUUGUAGGGUUGUAGUGAGAAUGACAGAUAAUAUACGAAAAGAUAAAACAUGGUACCAGAGGCAUUAGCAGGUGCUGUGAGGGGCUGUUGUAUUUCUUGUUAUACUGGAGUGGUUCUCCACCCUGGAUGCAUAUUAGGAUCAUCUGAAGGGCUUUUUUAAAAAUACGGAUAUCAUGACCUCACCCCUGGAGAUCCUCAUUGGUCGGGGUAGGGUUCUGGCAUUGUUACUUGUUUAAAACAAAGUUCCUCCUCCUUCCCAGUGAUUUUAAUUUGUAGCCAGUGUUGGAAAAACCCAUGGACUUAACCCUUUCCUAAGAGCUUAGAUCAGUUCUGCAGAUUAGCUAUCUGCCAUUUUGAAAAGGUGGCAUAGGCUCAGGGAAGUAUUCACUGGACGAAAGGAAUUCUGGAUGGGGGAAGCUCUAGGCACCAUCAGGCAUUUGCUUUGUGCUGGAAGCUGCAUCAAAUGGCUUGAGCCCAAAGCAGACAUAAGGGCUCCUUAUCUCCCUGGACACUGAGAAAAUCAUUUCUCUUAUUCCAAGAAAACAAUUUUGCUGACCAUGGAAAUACUAUCUCUGGUUUCCAGAGGUAAAAUGCUGUUCAGUGCACUUCUGGAGGUUGUAGUAUGAAGAAAUGACAAAGCCAAAAAGGCAUUCUGAACUAGGGAGACUCUCUUUAAAUCAAAAUAUAAAUGUAGGGCAAAAACUCUGCGGUCUCAGGAGGAUUGGAUCCAGGGGAAAAUGUUUACAAGGCAAACGUUUAGAAUCAGUUAUACAGCUUCAGCAAUGGUUUGCUAUUGUCUUGCUGUCUUUUUGUUUUGCUUUGUGUAGUGCUCAGAAUAUCUGCAUCAUGUAGCAUCUUUCUAUUUUUAGGAGUCUUUAAAAUCCUUUAUUCUGAGGCCCCAGAAUAUUCUCAUCCACCACGUGCUUUCACGUGGAGAUGACUGACUUCAUCUUUGAUAAUGGCAGUUCCCUAACCUCGAUCCAGCACGGGAGCAGAAAUUAAGGCGAAAAUGGCCACCCAAAUGGCACCCAGUGGGAAAACAGCAUUAACUCAGCUUUUAAAAAAAGCAUCAACUUGGAAAAUCCAAGACCUAGAUCUGAUGCUUAGUGGACCCACAAUGCCAGGCAGCAGUCUGGGAGAUGUCACUUCUGGAGCUUCUAAUGAGAUGCAAAUCACCUAGUGAACUACUGGGGAGCUGGGAAACAAUGUCCUGGGUAAAAGCAGAUAAAAAUGGAAUGAAAGAAUUUCUUUGAAGAUUGGAACGACAUUUUAAGUGCUUGCGGAUAUGGGACACCAGAUAGUGUUGGUUUUACUAAGCUAAUUGUGACGGGGUCUUUGAUUCCCUGCAGCAGGGGACCCUGGGGCACUCGUCUCCAGCUCUGCCUCACUCUUUGAGGAGCUAGUUCCAGUUCUACUGUGAGUGUGCAAGGGGGGGUUGGUCAGCUGUAGCAAAACUAGCACUGGACAUGGGGGAUCAGAAGACCUGGGCACACAUAGUUCAAGUUCUGACACAUAUUGGUAUGUGACCUUAAGUGAAUCCCUUACCCCUCUGCUGCCAUGUUUUAUGUGUAAAAUGAUAAAGAGAGGGGUGGACUGAGGUAGUAAUUUUUAAUGGAGGACAUUGGUGUGGCAAAUUACACAUGUUCUGGCCUGAAGAUUCUGAGCUGCUCUCCUUGGAGUCACAUUCUUUCCCAGUGUAUGAACAUCCGUGUGCAGUGAGAGACAUGCCUGAUGGGGAUCUGUUGCCUGAAGCCAGUGUGAAGGCAGGAAAAGGCUUGUUGGAAUUUAAAGAUGACCAAUCAAAAUGUAUUUAGGCUUCAAAGGAAAAAGUUCUCCAUAAAUACACCAGAAUUUCAUUCUAACAUGAUUCAUUCAUUCAAAGAGCAAAGCUGCACAAGACCUUUGGGUAUCUCCUCCUCCUUCUCCUUAUCUAUAAAUAUGUAAGAAAGAAAACGUGUAAAAUACAGUAUUUUGUUUC